UACAGAGGGUGCAAGCGUUAAUCGGAAUUACUGGGCGUAAAGCGCGCGUAGGUGGAUGCUUAAGUCGGAUGUGAAAGCCCUGGGCUUAACCUGGGAACUGCAUUCGAUACUGAGUGUCUAGAGUAUGGUAGAGGGAAGUGGAAUUUCCGGUGUAGCGGUGAAAUGCGUAGAUAUCGGAAGGAACACCAGUGGCGAAGGCGGCUUCCUGGACUAAUACUGACACUGAGGCGCGAAAGCGUGGGGAGCAAACAGG
rnacentral:rRNA from 1 species